GAAGGUCCGGGCGUUAUCCGGAUUUAUUGGGUUUAAAGGGAGCGUAGGCCGCAUGUCAAGCGUGCUGUGAAAGCCCGGGGCUCAACCCCGGUCUGCGGCGCGAACUGGCGUGCUUGAGUCCGCGGAAAGCAGGCGGAAUUCGUCGUGUAGCGGUGAAAUGCUUAGAUAUGACGAGGAACCCCGAUUGCGAAGGCAGCUUGCUGCAGCGGCACUGACGCUGAUGCUCGAAAGCGCGGGUAUCGAAC
rnacentral:rRNA from 1 species